CGAGCACUUCGCUGCAGCAGCCGUGACCCCGCCGGGAUUGCUAACCUCUCCCACCCACAGCCCUUAACCUGCCCGCAGCCCCAAGCCGCUGCCUCCUCCGUCACCCACCGGGGGUGGCACCCAUGGGUGCUGAUGGCGAGGCCGUGCCGCCCCCCGAGAGAAGCAAGACAGCAGCGGCACCGCUCAAUAUAUAGGUUUCUUUUAAUAUAAAAAAAGUGCCUAUGAAAAAUUCCUUCCUAAAUACACAAAAAGACCAGUUGAGGGCAAGAGCGGGGGCCGGCGGGGCCGGGCGUGGGGGCUGGGGGCUCUCCGGGGGGGGGUGCCACGGCCACAAGCACUGCGUGGGUCAGCUUGGGGGGGUGACACGAGGAGGGGGGGGGGCUGCUAUUUUGACCAGUUUUUUUU